GGGAGCACCCUGGACAGGACACCAGUCUGUCGCAUGGCCACACAUAGACAAGGAAAUACAUUCACACCCGCAUGCACACCUACAGGCAAUUUAAAGUUUCCAGUCCACCUAACCUGCAUGUCUUUGAAUGUGGGAGGAAGCCGGUGCACCUGGAGAGAACCAACGCAAACAUGGGGA